GCGCACUUAGCUUAGUUAGUAAAAAGCAUCACUCAUGAAGUUUGAGAUGGGUUCAAAUCCCAUAGUGCACA
rnacentral:tRNA from 1 species